rnacentral:misc_RNA from 1 species
GAUGAAGAACGUAGCGAAAUGCGAUAAGUAAUGUGAAUUGCAGAAUUCAGUGAAUCAUCGAAUCUUUGAACGCACAUUGCGCCCUCGGUAUUCCGAGGGGCAUGCCUGUUCGAGCGUCAUUAUAACCCUUCAAGCUCAGCUUGGUGUUGGGGCCUGCUGUAACUGGUAGCCCUUAAAAUCAGUGGCAGUGCUAUUAGGCUCUAAGCGUAGUAAUUCUUCUCGCUAUAGUGUGUAGUGAGCGCUUGCCAGAACCCCAAACUUUUAUAUGAUUGACCUCGGAUCAGGUAGGGAUACCCGCUGAACUUAAGCAUAUCAAUAAGCGGAGGA